rnacentral:rRNA from 1 species
GACGAACCGUGCAAACGUUGUUCGGAAUCACUGGGCUUAAAGGGCGCGUAGGCGGUCUCGCCAGUCAGGGGUGAAAUCCUACGGCUCAACCGUGGAAGUGCCUUUGAUACUGCGGGCCUCGAGGGAGGUAGGGGCGUGCGGAACUUCCGGUGGAGCGGUGAAAUGCGUAGAUAUCGGAAGGAACACCGGUGGCGAAAGCGGCGCGCUGGACCUCUUCUGACGCUGAGGCGCGAAAGCCAGGGGAGCGAACGGG